rnacentral:rRNA from 1 species
GGUUAAGCGACUAAGCGUACACGGUGGAUGCCCUGGCAGUCAGAGGCGAUGAAGGACGUGCUAAUCUGCGAUAAGCGUCGGUGAGGUGAUAUGAACCGUUAUAACCGGCGAUUUCCGAAUGGGGAAACCCAGUGUGUUUCGACACACUAUCAUUAACUGAAUCCAUAGGUUAAUGAGGCGAACCGGGGGAACUGAAACAUCUAAGUACCCCGAGGAAAAGAAAUCAACCGAGAUUCCCCCAGUAGCGGCGAGCGAACGGGGAGGAGCCCAGAGCCUGAAUCAGUGUGUGUGUUAGUGGAAGCGUCUGGAAAGGCGCGCGAUACAGGGUGACAGCCCCGUACACAAAAAUGCACAUAUUGUGAGCUCGAUGAGUAGGGCGGGACACGUGGUAUCCUGUCUGAAUAUGGGGGGACCAUCCUCCAAGGCUAAAUACUCCUGACUGACCGAUAGUGAACCAGUACCGUGAGGGAAAGGCGAAAAGAACCCCGGCGAGGGGAGUGAAAAAGAACCUGAAACCGUGUACGUACAAGCAGUGGGAGCCUCUUAAUGGGGUGACUGCGUACCUUUUGUAUAAUGGGUCAGCGACUUAUAUUCUGUAGCAAGGUUAACCGAAUAGGGGAGCCGAAGGGAAACCGAGUCUUAACUGGGCGCUAAGUUGCAGGGUAUAGACCCGAAACCCGGUGAUCUAGCCAUGGGCAGGUUGAAGGUUGGGUAACACUAACUGGAGGACCGAACCGACUAAUGUUGAAAAAUUAGCGGAUGACUUGUGGCUGGGGGUGAAAGGCCAAUCAAACCGGGAGAUAGCUGGUUCUCCCCGAAAGCUAUUUAGGUAGCGCCUCGUGAAUUCAUCUCCGGGGGUAGAGCACUGUUUCGGCAAGGGGGUCAUCCCGACUUACCAACCCGAUGCAAACUGCGAAUACCGGAGAAUGUUAUCACGGGAGACACACGGCGGGUGCUAACGUCCGUCGUGAAGAGGGAAACAACCCAGACCGCCAGCUAAGGUCCCAAAGUCAUGGUUAAGUGGGAAACGAUGUGGGAAGGCCCAGACAGCCAGGAUGUUGGCUUAGAAGCAGCCAUCAUUUAAAGAAAGCGUAAUAGCUCACUGGUCGAGUCGGCCUGCGCGGAAGAUGUAACGGGGCUAAACCAUGCACCGAAGCUGCGGCAGCGACACUAUGUGUUGUUGGGUAGGGGAGCGUUCUGUAAGCCUGUGAAGGUGGCCUGUGAGGGUUGCUGGAGGUAUCAGAAGUGCGAAUGCUGACAUAAGUAACGAUAAAGCGGGUGAAAAGCCCGCUCGCCGGAAGACCAAGGGUUCCUGUCCAACGUUAAUCGGGGCAGGGUGAGUCGCCCCCUAAGGCGAGGCCGAAAGGCGUAGUCGAUGGGAAACAGGUUAAUAUUCCUGUACUUGGUGUUACUGCGAAGGGGGGACGGAGAAGGCUAUGUUGGCCGGGCGACGGUUGUCCCGGUUUAAGCGUGUAGGCUGGUUUUCCAGGCAAAUCCGGAAAACCAAGGCUGAGGCGUGAUGACGAGGCACUACGGUGCUGAAGCGACAAAUGCCCUGCUUCCAGGAAAAGCCUCUAAGCAUCAGGUAACAUCAAAUCGUACCCCAAACCGACACAGGUGGUCAGGUAGAGAAUACCAAGGCGCUUGAGAGAACUCGGGUGAAGGAACUAGGCAAAAUGGUGCCGUAACUUCGGGAGAAGGCACGCUGAUAUGUAGGUGAAGCGACUUGCUCGUGGAGCUGAAAUCAGUCGAAGAUACCAGCUGGCUGCAACUGUUUAUUAAAAACACAGCACUGUGCAAACACGAAAGUGGACGUAUACGGUGUGACGCCUGCCCGGUGCCGGAAGGUUAAUUGAUGGGGUUAGCGGUAACGCGAAGCUCUUGAUCGAAGCCCCGGUAAACGGCGGCCGUAACUAUAACGGUCCUAAGGUAGCGAAAUUCCUUGUCGGGUAAGUUCCGACCUGCACGAAUGGCGUAAUGAUGGCCAGGCUGUCUCCACCCGAGACUCAGUGAAAUUGAACUCGCUGUGAAGAUGCAGUGUACCCGCGGCAAGACGGAAAGACCCCGUGAACCUUUACUAUAGCUUGACACUGAACAUUGAGCCUUGAUGUGUAGGAUAGGUGGGAGGCUUUGAAGUGUGGACGCCAGUCUGCAUGGAGCCGACCUUGAAAUACCACCCUUUAAUGUUUGAUGUUCUAACGUUGGCCCCUAAUCGGGGUUGCGGACAGUGUCUGGUGGGUAGUUUGACUGGGGCGGUCUCCUCCUAAAGAGUAACGGAGGAGCACGAAGGUUGGCUAAUCCUGGUCGGACAUCAGGAGGUUAGUGCAAUGGCAUAAGCCAGCUUGACUGCGAGCGUGACGGCGCGAGCAGGUGCGAAAGCAGGUCAUAGUGAUCCGGUGGUUCUGAAUGGAAGGGCCAUCGCUCAACGGAUAAAAGGUACUCCGGGGAUAACAGGCUGAUACCGCCCAAGAGUUCAUAUCGACGGCGGUGUUUGGCACCUCGAUGUCGGCUCAUCACAUCCUGGGGCUGAAGUAGGUCCCAAGGGUAUGGCUGUUCGCCAUUUAAAGUGGUACGCGAGCUGGGUUUAGAACGUCGUGAGACAGUUCGGUCCCUAUCUGCCGUGGGCGCUGGAGAACUGAGGGGGGCUGCUCCUAGUACGAGAGGACCGGAGUGGACGCAUCACUGGUGUUCGGGUUGUCAUGCCAAUGGCACUGCCCGGUAGCUAAAUGCGGAAGAGAUAAGUGCUGAAAGCAUCUAAGCACGAAACUUGCCCCGAGAUGAGUUCUCCCUGAGACUUAGAGUCUCCUGAAGGAACGUUGAAGACGACGACGUUGAUAGGCCGGGUGUGUAAGCGCAGCGAUGCGUUGAGCUAACCGGUACUAAUGAACCGUGAGGCUUAACCUU